GGAGCUGAAGUCAGUCGAAGAUACCAGCUGGCUGCAACUGUUUAUUAAAAACACAGCACUGUGCAAACACGAAAGUGGACGUAUACGGUGUGACGCCUGCCCGGUGCCGGAAGGUUAAUUGAUGGGGUCAGCGCAAGCGAAGCUCCUGAUCGAAGCCCCGGUAAACGGCGGCCGUAACUAUAACGGUCCUAAGGUAGCGAAAUUCCUUGUCGGGUAAGUUCCGACCUGCACGAAUGGCGUAAUGAUGGCCAGGCUGUCUCCACCCGAGACUCAGUGAAAUUGAACUCGCUGUGAAGAUGCAGUGUACCCGCGGCAAGACGGAAAGACCCCGUGAACCUUUACUAUAGCUUGACACUGAACAUUGAGCCUUGAUGUGUAGGAUAGGUGGGAGGCUUUGAAGUGUGGACGCCAGUCUGCAUGGAGCCAACCUUGAAAUACCACCCUUUAAUGUUUGAUGUUCUAACGUGGACCCGUAAUCCGGGUUGCGGACAGUGUCUGGUGGGUAGUUUGACUGGGGCGGUCUCCUCCUAAAGAGUAACGGAGGAGCACGAAGGUUGGCUAAUCCUGGUCGGACAUCAGGAGGUUAGUGCAAUGGCAUAAGCCAGCUUGACUGCGAGCGUGACGGCGCGAGCAGGUGCGAAAGCAGGUCAUAGUGAUCCGGUGGUUCUGAAUGGAAGGGCCAUCGCUCAACGGAUAAAAGGUACUCCGGGGAUAACAGGCUGAUACCGCCCAAGAGUUCAUAUCGACGGCGGUGUUUGGCACCUCGAUGUCGGCUCAUCACAUCCUGGGGCUGAAGUAGGUCCCAAGGGUAUGGCUGUUCGCCAUUUAAAGUGGUACGCGAGCUGGGUUUAGAACGUCGUGAGACAGUUCGGUCCCUAUCUGCCGUGGGCGCUGGAGAACUGAGGGGGGCUGCUCCUAGUACGAGAGGACCGGAGUGGACGCAUCACUGGUGUUCGGGUUGUCAUGCCAAUGGCACUGCCCGGUAGCUAAAUGCGGAAGAGAUAAGUGCUGAAAGCAUCUAAGCACGAAACUUGCCCCGAGAUGAGUUCUCCCUGAGACUUAAAGUCUCCUGAAGGAACGUUGAAGACGACGACGUUGAUAGGCCGGGUGUGUAAGCGCAGCGAUGCGUUGAGCUAACCGGUACUAAUGAACCGUGAGGCUUAACCUU
rnacentral:rRNA from 1 species